CCAGCGAACAGUUAACAUCACGUUCGCGGUGCUCUCAAAAGACGGUAGAGAGUAUUUGUGGACCGGCCAACUGAUCUCAUUUGUCUCAGCUAGAAGACACUCGCUAGGAUGAUAGCUUCAAGAACGAAUCACAGUUACGAUUGCCUACCUGGAUUGGAUGGGUCUAACAGCAGGCCUAGACCUAUAACAGCUGUACAGAAAUAAGGGAUCAUUACCAAAAAUCAAAAGAACACAGCAACCGGUUUUUUGACAGCGAAGCAAGAAUGAAAACUUCUACAGAUAUAACUAACAACAGGCCAAAACCAUUGUUUCCGACACCCAGCUGCUAAAAAUGAAAAUCGCGAUUUAUUAUAUUAAUAAAUCUAAUGUAAAUAUCAUGUUUCUUUCUUCGGUAGUUUAAAAUGGGAUUUUCAACACAACCCCUACUACGUUUUAGUUAGGCAAACAAACUAACUUUUUGUAUUUUUUUACAUAGUACCUGAAAUAAGUUUGCCUUCCGUACGGGGUUGUUUGAAAUCCUACUUGUUACACUACUACUCCUAUCUUUUUGUUACACUUUAUAUCUAUAAUGACUAUUUUGUGACUAUUCAAAAUAUACUUGUAUAUUCAUUUUAUACCUCGUCAGGUAAACCAAUUAUGUUUUCUUUUAUUUACAUUGUGUUGCAAGCGAAUUACAGUUGUUACUAUUGCUGUUAAUUAUAAGGUAACGAUUUAACAGCUUUA